AAUCAACGCUGGCGGCGUGCCUAACACAUGCAAGUCGAGCGCGAAAGGGGGGCAGCUCCCAAGUAGAGCGGCGAACGGGUGAGUAACGCGUGGGUAAUCUACCUUCGAGUGGGGAAUAACCCCGGGAAACUGGGGCUAAUACCGCAUGACAUCGUCGGGUCUUCGGAUCUGACGAUCAAAGCCGGGGACCGCAAGGCCUGGCGCUUGAAGAGGAGCCCGCGUCCGAUUGGCUAGUUGGCGGGGUAACGGCCCACCAAGGCUUCGAUCGGUAGCCGGCCUGAGAGGGCGGACGGCCACACUGGGACUGAGACACGGCCCAGACUCCUACGGGAGGCAGCAGUGGGGAAUUUUUCGCAAUGGGGGAAACCCUGACGAAGCAACGCCGCGUGGAGGAUGAAGGCCUUCGGGUCGUAAACUCCUGUCGACCGGGACGAACGCUAUUGGGCCCAAUACGCCCGAUAGUCGACUGUACCGGUGGAGGAAGCCACGGCUAACUCUGUGC
rnacentral:rRNA from 1 species